rnacentral:misc_RNA from 1 species
CGGAUGAGGUGGGUUUCCAGCAACCCGCUGGACGGCAUGGCCCUCGGCAUUGCCGAACUCAAACCCGAGCGGUUCCAGGGCCUGACCUUCGAGAAGCCCAGCCGCGCCGCUCAGGCCGUUCGCCAGAUGCUUCGGGGCAACUAGCUAGCUCGUUUAGCUCGUGCCUUCAAUGACCUGAUCCGAGGGCCCGCUCAAUGGCUAAUCGCCUGUGCCCAAUAUGCAACAAGUGCACGCGCAAAAGUCUCAAAGGGAACUUUGACUACUUCGAUUGCGAAGUCUGCCGAGGUGU